rnacentral:lncRNA from 1 species
AGUGCCCUCAGGCAGGCUCCUGCUGGAGCCAGGCGCAUCCUGACCCGAGGGCUGAGUUUUGGAGGAGAGGAGCACUUUAUGCUGCAUCUGCUGGGAUGGGGAGUGCUCCUGGAGGAAGGAUUACCUUGCGGUAUCCUAAUAGUCAUGAGAUUACCAGAGAAGAAGGAAGCAAGAAGAAAGAAAAGGAAGGCAAUCAGACUGAGAAGAAGAUGGUGUCAGUGCUGGAUUUGACAAUGCCCAUAGGUCCCUUCCAGCUCAGGAUAUUCCAUGUUUCUAUGACUGUAACACCCGUGCUAUCACUGUGGCAAAUCCUGUCUCCUCAGACCUCUUUUUCCCCAGGGUCAUGCUGGGACCCACCUCUUCCAUGGUUAAAACCCCGACUUCAGACUGUGCCAGCUGCCUUUGGCUAUUUGACUUCAGAACUUUCUAAGGUGUAAGGAAACUUACGGUCCUUGUUCACCUGUGCUCCCACCCAGGGACUAGGAGCCACUUGCCACUCCUGACCCAUUGCUGGGCCACCACCGAAGCAAUAGGGUUUUCUGUGGUCGCCACCGUAGGAUGUGGAGUUGAUUACUCAGUAGGUGACUUUUCUUUGUACUGAGUCAGUGCUGAACAAAUAACUGGUCGGGCAUAUCAUUGGGAGGGACUAUGGUGCUCUGGUGCUGCCUUCUGCAUGAGCCUUCAAUUGGAGGUCCUGGCCACUUUUUUUUUAGGCAACACUGGUCUGAUCCUGAGAAACUGAGGCCAACUACUGCAGCCAAUCAUACUUAUAUGCACAGUUUCACUUGGUUAUGUUAGCCAUACCUUGUCUUUAUCUGUUCUGUGGUAUUGUCCAGCAUUUUAAAGAGGAGUGACAAAUUUCAUUUGGGAAUAGGGUGUCCCAGUCCCAGUCCCAGAGUCUGUAGAUAACUCUUCUGGCUGUUCUCAGGCUGACUUAAGUCAAUCAACACCUUUGACACUCUUGGGUGAGGGCUUAUAGCAGAUGAAUGCAAUGUCAAAAUCAUCAUUAGUGUUAGGGAGGAUGGGUAUGUGUCAUUCUGCAAAACUCUGGGGAACAAUUUAUGCUCUGUCACUUCAUAAAGGGGGAAAAAAAAAACACUUUCUCCAGUUAUUAGAUAUGACUUAUACCUAAAGGCCAGAGCAGGUGGCCCUGUGAUUACUUCUUUUUGUAAUGAGAGAAUUCUGCUUCCUUUAGAUGCAUUAAUUUAUUUGGAGGCUGCUAAGAAGUACUUGGAAAAUUAGAAAAACAAGACAGGCGAUGAACUCCUUUCCACUUUUGCCUUUUUUUUGUGUGGUUAGAGAAAGUAUUUUAGAGCAUCUGUUUCACAAAUUGUAAGCCAAUCUGCUCCAGUUGUAAAAACUUACUGUGCUAUGCAUCAUCCCCUGGAAUCAGAGCUAAUGAAACUUGACACAAUAAUACAGUCAAAUAGAGCCCCAAUGAAUAAAGCUGUUGCUUUUCUAAUAAUGGUUAUUCCA